GGCGGUUGCCAUGGUGAUACCUGGACUCCUGUCUAGUGACGCACUCGUUAGGAUCCUGGAUCGCGUGGCAUGGUCAACAAACCUAAAGGCUCUUGGCGCCUGCCGUCCCAUCACGCAGGCGCAGCUCAGGUAGCGUGCGCAGCGAACAAGCUAUACUAGGCACCCGGGCCGAGUCGCGUGGUGCGUGUGAAGUGACCUGGAGAGGGCUGCAAAGAUGGAAAGUUCUGCUCUAAACUGGAAGACGUCAGAAAUCAGCCUAACAGUUCAUCUCAUCCACAGAGAGGCAGAUUAGAUGACAAAGCUGAAGGUAAUGGAGGAGCAUUGCAAAAACCAACGGUACAGGCUGCUCGCUACAGGCUUCUCUGAGGGUGGACAGAGGCCAAAGGAGUCUCAGUUGCUGCUCAUUCCUUCUGUGGAUUGAAAUUAUGGCUCAUGAAUGAACGGCUGCUGAGUGACCUGUAAAAACUAGCUUGGAUUAACUAGCCGCCUCCAGUCUUCGAGUAAGUUGGAGCGUGAGACUAAAUGAAACAGACAAACAAAAAAAACAAAGCUCUAAAAAACAUGACAUCGAUGUCUGUAAGUGCAGGAGAAACUCCAGGAGUGGUAACAGCACCUUCUGUUCCCAUCCUUCGAGUCAUUUCUAAACACAAGCUCUCCCUCUUCCUUCUACCUAAAGCUGGCCAGGGAGCCUGCGACUGUGAUCCCCAGGGGUCUCUGACCAAAACUGAAGAACUCGCUCCUUCGUUCAGUGGUUCUUGGAAUAAUCUCCACUCUUUCUUAAAUCACAGAUAUCGUAUUCGGCUCAGCUAUUUAACGUAAGUGUAGCACGGAGGUAUUGAGAUAACACAGGUAGCUGAGCCAGACUUCUGUAAGAUCCUGGUAGUCCCUGAAGUCAACGGUCCUUUCAGCUCUUCUCAGCAACUUAAUCACUUAAGAACUAAACCGUUUACAGGGCAGACAGAGGCAUGGUGCCAGAGCCCAGGAGUUGGCAGCGCAGUGAGCUUUUAUCCCAAGGGUCCAGGCUUCCUGUUCAGGCAACAAAUGUAAGUUUUGACUUUGGACAGACUUGAUCAGAAUAAAUUAAGUGCCAUUAUAAAAAUUAAAACCUGAUCUACCUUCA